AUAAAAUGUAUAUUUCAUUUCAAUAGCAUAUCACAUCAAAUACAAUACAUCAUGUAAUGACUCCACGCAUUAAGGUUCAACGCCUAACAAGAGCACAUCAAAAAUAAUUUUACAUGUGCACAACAAAAUACUUCUGCAAGUGCAAGUACACAGAAAAAGGACCCACAAGUGCACAGUCGCACAUAAAGAGAGUUCCACAAAGAUUGGAUGAGAACCAC
rnacentral:lncRNA from 1 species